CUUUUUUUUUUUUUUUUUUUUUUCCUACACUAUUUCAUAGACCAGAUACAGAAGAAACCACUGAAAACCCAACUGGGGUGCCACAUUUUCAGUUCAUUCCCAUUAACUGCUUGUUCAGGAUGGUUCAGUUGAAGGGAAUUUUAUUCUUGGCACAGCCAUCGAGUGGUAGUUAGUCUGGAAUGUCCUAAGUUCCGAACUACCCUGGGGGCCAAGCAGAACGUGGUCCCUUGGUGUGGUCAGUUGGUCAUGGAGGGCUGCUCACUGCCAGAGAGCUGACAAUACAGGGUGCUGGGUAGGAUGACCAGACAUUUGCAUUUGUUCCUCAGAGAGGCUUCGUUUGCAGGAAAGCGCCAUAUUUUAGCCCAGGAGUUAAAACCUAGAGACAGGAGUUAUGUUUUGUUUAAUGAUUUGAGCUUUUUUCUGGACUCAGCACCUCUUCCAAUACCUCGACCUUCCUGAAGAGCCCUUGGUGCAGGAGGAUUGAGAAAGGGAGUGGAAUGAGCUCCAGGUUCAGGGUCCAGGCCAUGAUUUAGAGGCCUCAGGUGUUCAGGGAUCUCUGUCCCCGGAAAAUCAACCGAAUUCUUGUCCCAGAUCUAUCAUUGGUCAGUGCUGUGAAUCUGGGCAGGCCGCUCAAAUCUCUUCAUUUCACUUCCCUGAACCGUCAACUCUGAGUGGCAGCCCCUGCUCUGCUCAUCUCUCUGGACUGAUGUGGGCACCACGGGAAAUUCGGACAGAAAUUUUCAUGAGUUCUAAAGCAUGGGACCCAUGUCAAGAAUGAAGAGAAUUUUACCCUCCACUGCCCUGGAGUCCCCAAUUCCUUCUCUAUUAACCACUACCAAGGCCUGGGUUCUUCUUCCAGACAUGAAAUAAUUGAACACUUUAUGGCACUUAGGAAGCACCUGUCUUAAGGCUUUAAGUGGUCUGUUUAACUAUUUUUACUCUUUUAACAUAACGUAGGCCAUUAUCAACAUUUCCACAUUCAGACUAGGGAUCGGAGGCCCAGAGGGGUCUACAGAACUUCCUCAGGUUCUAGCAGCUUUUCAAAAGUCCUUGAGCUCAGAUCCUAUGCACCAGACCCUACGCUCUUGGUCACUCCAAUCUACUACCUUUCUGUAAUGUCUCAUCUCAAUACAGGCAUUUGCCUGCACAGUUGUAAGUGCAACCCACAGUGUAAGUCCUUUCUGAAGCCAAACUCGGAUUCAGGGGGCUUUGCUCUGCAGAUGACGAACAAUGGGAUCAAACAUCGUGUUCCAUCCAGGAUGAAGUAGUGGAUCCUGAGGUGCCCAGGAAAUCCCCCGUCAGACACCACCAUAGGCAUAAGAAGCGAAUUCUCCAUCACUGGCAUCACAACCGUGUACACCCUAGAGUUACAUCAACGGAAGAUCAGGAUGAGGACCUAGUGCUGGAGCCUUCAUCUGAGAUGUCCCAGGCAUUUACAUGGUGGACAAAGCCACAGUGACAAACAGUACCUAUUCUGGAUCACCCCUAUGCUGAGGAAAAUUCUAGUGUUGACAAAGAUGGCACUUUCUUGCCUCAUUUUUUGGAGAGCCACUCUGGUUUGAACUUCCUGCCAGAAACGAGGUUCAAGCACUUUUGUCCACAUGUCAGGCUGUCCCCGUGCUGGAGUCAGUGUGAGCAUGAGGAGCAGUGCGCUCCGUGGUGCACACACAUCGUGUUGAAAAGGAAGAGUGGAAGGACAAAUACCAGAUGCUAAGUAGGGGUCAUCGUUAAAUGAAAUCGUUGGGAGUUCCACCGGAGGGUACGUAUUGCGGAGCCACUCUCACACUGAUGAGUCACCCAGAUGAUGAGGAAUGUGCCACUGCCUCGCUGGCCUUCCCGUAGACAGGCAGCCGGAGCUGAGCUUCCUCUCAUGAAUGAGACCUAGGCUGUGAUGGGAGAAAUGCUUGUUCCACAUAGAGCCUGAUGGUCACAUUCUGCGGUCCCUGGGAGCAACUGCAUUCUCUGAGGAUAGGGUGAAGUUGUGCACAUUCAGUUGCUGCGUGUCUUUUUGAAUUCAUGUGGUGUAACUUUUGAGUGUCCAAAAUACAUAAUGUCAAGGUCAUGUAGAGGCUCAGCCUCUAUCAUGCAGCCUC